rnacentral:rRNA from 1 species
GACGAACGCUGGCGGCGUGCUUAACACAUGCAAGUCGAACGGAAAGGCCCUGCUUUUGUGGGGUGCUCGAGUGGCGAACGGGUGAGUAGCACGUGAGUAACCUGCCCUUGACUUUGGGAUAACUUCAGGAAACUGGGGCUAAUACCGGAUAGGAGCUCCUGCUGCAUGGUGGGGGUUGGAAAGUUUCGGCGGUUGGGGAUGGACUCGCGGCUUAUCAGCUUGUUGGUGGGGUAGUGGCUUACCAAGGCUUUGACGGGUAGCCGGCCUGAGAGGGUGACCGGCCCCAUUGGGCCUGAGAUACGGCCCAGACUCCUACGGGAGGCAGCAGUGGGGAAUAUUGCACAAUGGGCGGAAGCCUGAUGCAGCAACGCCGUGUGCGGGAAGACGGCCUUCGGGUUGUAAACCGCUUUCGCCUGUGACGAAGCGUUAGUGACGGUAAUGGGUAAAGAAGCACCGGCUAACUACGUG